rnacentral:lncRNA from 12 species
CCGCCCGCCCGCCGGGCACCGAGCCGCCCCGCCGCCGCUGCGCCGCGCUCUGCCCCUGCGGGCGGGGUGGGGAGAGGGGGGAGCAGCCUCCACCCGCUUCCCAGGUCGGGCCGCGCGCGGGGCCAAUCCUCGCGAACAGGCUCCCGGCGGCGGGGUGCUCCGAGGCCCUCCGCCCAGCCCGGCCCGCGCGCCCGGCCCCAGGCACUGCGGCUUCGGUUACCAGCGUCAGCCCCCGGCCCCCGGCGGUUUUCAGCCCUGCUCUUCCUAGGUGUUUGUUUCCCGGGAUGUGCUCUAGCGGAGAGGUCCCUGGCGGGGAAGGCGCGGAGCCGCCAAAUUAGCGCUCAUGCCCCCUUGGCAGCCCACUCCGGGCUGGCAGCGCUGUGCUCCGGACGCCGACGCGCGCAGGCUGGAUUCAGCAGGGGUUUCAGAUCUGGGGGCCUAAGUGUAUCCGUGUGUAUCCCUGUGGUUUCCCAUAGCUCCUCCAUCCCCACCCCCUCCCGGCCUCCCUCCCCAGCCCUUCUGAGGUACCAGCGUCUGAAGCAUCCCCGUCCCCCCCACCCUUCAGUAGGGAGGAUGGGGGUGGGGGGGAGCCAGCCCUGCCUCAUCAGUACUUGACCGUGUCUCAUGUCCCCAGUGUCCCAGGAAGAAGGGAUGACAUUUGUGACACAGAGCAAAGCGGCUCAAACGUCCUGGCUGCCUCCCCUUCACACAUGCACUGAAACCACCUCCAAGCUCACACCGACCCUCAGUGUCCAAGUGUCACGCUCUCCCACUAGGCCCCUGCCCCCAGCACUGGCGGCAGGACACAGAGCCUCCCGGGCUGCAGCAUUGGAGGAGCAGAAGCUCCUUCUUCCCGAAGGUGGGCAGUGUGGCCGAGAGGGUCGUGCAGAAGCGUCCCCUUUCCUGGCACGUCUCUAACCCUGUGUCCAUCAGACUGGAAGGAAGUGCCCCAAGUUCUUGACCAUCACCCCGAGUCACCUGGGGACCCCUCUUCCAUGACCAGCAAAUCAAAAGCCCUCUCUGAGCUGGCUGUACCCACUGGUCCCCAGGACGGGGCAGCGAGGGCUCCUGGGUAGAUGGUGGACAUGAGGAUGCCCGUUCUGCUUAGGGCCAGAGUGUGGCUGGGGGCGUGAUGUAAGCUCAUCCAGGCUCCUUCCAGUGAGGAUCCUGAGGAUCACAGCCAAAUUGUGCGGCAGAUGGGGUGACAGUAGCUCGCCUGGGUGGGCAUCACCUGUUGGGAGUGUAGCUGAGGGGCUCUGAGGGCACGGGAAGGGCUGUGGGUGGGGAGGCAGGACCCCUGGAUCUUGGGCACCCAGACUGUAGGUACAACCUGAACCCUUAGUCUUCUCAUCUGUGGAAUGGGGUAGCAGUACCCACAUCGAAGGUGGUUUGUGUAGAUCCUCCAUGGGAGAACUUUGAAGCUGUGGCAUCAUAGUCCUGGGCAUUUGGUAUUGGAGAGGGUCCCGCCAUCCCUUCCUCCAGUCUGCCCCUUCUCAAUGCAUGUGCCCCAGGGUUUAGCAGGGAGGCCUUCCUGCUGCCACCCCCACAGCAUGCACCUGGUGGCCGCCUGCCAUAGGCACACAGAAAGGUGUUGUCCUACUAAAUGGACUCUGCA